GUGCCAGGGAGACCCCACUCUGAGCCACAGUUCCGAGGGGAGCGGCGUGUGGCCCCAUCUCGCCACCCCCCACUUCCCCGCCGACAGGACGGCCAUGACAACAGGACAGUGCUGCCACCUGCCAGGCUCUCUGUGCGACUGCACGGGCGGGGCAGACCUGUCGAAGGCCGUGCAGGAGGCCGAUGGCCGACAGGCACGCUACGUCACGCAGGUCACUACCAAGGACGGCCGGCUGCUCUCCACGGUCAUCCGGGCCCUGGGCAUGCAGAGCGACGGACCCAUAUGCCGCAUUUGCCACGAAGGAGGCAACGGCGAGGGGCUGCUCUCCCCCUGCGACUGCACCGGUACGCUGGGCACAGUGCACCGCAGCUGCCUGGAGAAGUGGCUGUCGUCGUCCAACACCAGCUACUGCGAGCUGUGCCACACUGAGUUCAGCGUGGAGCGCAGACCCCGGCCCCUCACAGAGUGGCUCCAGGACCCGGGGCCGAGGAACGAGAAGAGGACGCUCCUCUGCGAUAUGGUCUGCUUCCUCUUCAUCACGCCCCUGGCCGCCAUCUCGGGGUGGCUCUGCCUGCGGGGGGCCCAGGAUCACCUGCACUUCAACAGCCGGCUGGAGGCCGUGGGCCUCAUCGCCCUCACCAUCGCCCUCUUCACCAUCUACGUCCUGUGGACCCUGGUGUCCUUCCGCUACCACUGUCAGCUGUACUCGGAGUGGAGGCGAACCAAUCAGAAGGUCCGGUUACUGAUCCCCGACAUCAAGGCGGAGCAUUCUGCCCAGCAUUCCUUGCUGUCCACGAAGCUCGUGAAGAAGACAGCGGAUGAAACUAUCGUAUGAGCCCCGGGCUCCACUCUAACAGGCAGAGUGGAACAGUUUUUUUUUUUUUUUUUUUUUAAACCGUGUUUCGGCACUUCCUUUUCAUUGACUGUACCGGGCCCCUGGACACGUGCUCUGCCAUGUGCUCUGGAGACCAAGGUGACAAGAACAGUGUAUAGCAGCCCGUGUCCCCUCUGUAAUGUAGUUGUUCUUGUGCUUCCUGUUGUUGCUGUUGCGCUCAGUUCCACAGAUGGACUGGGGGUGGUAGGGGGGUGUGCGUCACUGCAGCAUCACGCCGUGGCGACUCCUCGUCCCCGCAGCUCAGCAUCCCACUGGCUCUCUUGUCAACACGGAGGCCCGUGAGCAGCAGGCCGCGACUCACUCGAACACCGGCAGUCGUUUGGCUGGAGUCUUUGUCGUGCUCUGGACUGAGCAGCGGGCAGAACGCGGUAAAAUGACAGCGGGCUCACCGGAGGCUCACAGGAGCUCCCUAACAGGAUGGUCUGGCUGGGGUGUGUUGUGUGCGGCACUGCAGGACACACCUGCUUCUCAGGAGCCACUUGUCUCUCUCUCUCUCUCACUCUCACUCUCACACACACACACACACACACACACACACACACACACACACACACACACACACACACAGAGUACGCCUCGCUUGUGAGCCAGCGAGUGACUUGGGGAGCAUGACUGGUGUGCCGAAGUCCCUGUCUUUCUCUCUGUUGCGCUUCAUCGUGUGCCGAAGGCCCCGAGUCACCCACGAAUGACCCGACUCUCGCACCCGGAGUCAGCGGCAGCAUCGACGCAGAAGAGCGACGACUGGAAUUCCAACGCGACACUUGUGCUCCGGUACGGAGCGGUUGGUUAUUAGACGCGUCUAGUUGUGUCGCUCUUGCCUCGUCCUUUUGGCUCACAGCAUCAAGGAAGCGCAGAGACCUGCAGGUUGACCAUCCGUACGCCAGGGAACACUCACCUUGCGACCGAGCAAAAAAAGUACCUCUCGUUUGACCGUCGCGACACAACUUGCAACGGUAAUCAUUCCUUCUUCAGCUUUCUGUGCUAUUAGUGUGUUACUUUGAAGUGUUGUAGAGACCUAUGCGUGACGUUGGCCAAGUGUUGCCGAGUCGGCCCGCGAGAGACCCCUGCGUGUGCGCUCAGUGUCCGGGGGCUCCGGUGUGGCUCCGAGCCUCGAGAGAGAGAGAGAGAGAGAGAGAGAGAGAGAUUUGGGCCGGGCUCUUUCUGCAGUCUUGGAUAUAGGAACUUUGUUACGUGCAAUUUGUAAAACUCAUUACGGUGCAAUUCGUUCAGGACGCCGACCUGUAUAAAGGCAUCAUGCCAUAUGUGAUCAAUCCACGUAGUUUAGCCGAAAGAUUGCGGGAAGCAGCGAUGAACCAGGAGCACGGCUCUGCGUUUUCCUCCACGACGCACUAAACUGCUGCGCUGAGCAUCGAGCUCUGUUCCGCAGACCCGUGUGGACGUCCUCUCCUGCGUCCCACGAGACGGUCGCGUGGCGUCAAGCGGCGCCGCGCCGCUUUCCCUGCUCAGUGCUCCUCCGUUUCCUACAGAGGUUUCCAUUCAACUUCUGUCAUGAUGCUUUCGGUGCAGUUUGUUCCACGACUUUCCACACUCCUGUAGAUACGAAUAUAAAAAAAACUGAACAUUUUUCAAAGACAUACAGUAGCUCUUCUGUAAAAUAAAAGGUCAACAGAAUUUGGACAUUGAUGUACAGUGUUUUUUUUUUUUUUUCCCCCUCCUUUUUACGUGUUCAUUUCAUUGUGUUUCUCGCUGUAUGUGAAUUGCCUCAUGCUGUGGGUAUAUUUGUCAGAUAGGCUGGGCUUUGUGGCACCCAUGAGUAAAACGGAGAAUACGCUGCUCACAUUACUCUACUGCGCUAAAGUGAAAUGCGGACAGCGACUCGCAGCUCUUUGGCUCUUCUCUUCUCUUGUUCGCUCUGCCGAGGCUUCGCCGUCUCCGCUCUUGCUCGCAGGCGUAAAACAUCCCCCUUCCACUGGUGCCUCUUUGCGUGCGUUUUGUCGAAGGCUCAGCCAAAGAGCGUUUAUAAAGCCCCGCGUAGCGUGUCGGUGAGCUCUCGGAACGCACUUCAUCACUGCGGGAGCGUUAACGCAAAAUGUGUGUGUGCUGCGCGUCUCGCCGAAAUGGCCUUUCUGAUGUCUGGAGCCGGGUGGCAUAGAACGUGUCCUGUACUUAAUACACGAGUAUUAUUAGUGUUUGCGUUGUUGUUGUUGUUGUU